rnacentral:misc_RNA from 1 species
GUCUCACUAGGCUUGUAUAAAGCUCCAUAGAGCAAUGUCCCGUCACAGGCCUGUACCUCAACCAUCUCUGGAGGCUCAAGAUGAAGCCUCUCAAUCCUUGGAAUUGCAAGUGUUUGCUCAUAAAUUGGCAAAAUGACACUUCCAUCUUUCAAGGAACAGAGCAACACCCUUGGGGGAGAAUCAAGCGAAUCAUGAAUGUCAAUAAAACUUCCCAUACGAUGAUCGAGUACAACGACAUGUUUUCCCUUGCCAUGAGUCAGUCUAACAGGUGGCUCCAAAGGUGUGUUCCCGGCAGUAGUUAGUUUGGUACAGUAAAGAUGAGAUUCAAGAGGCCCAUCAAGAGUUCCAGUAAAAUAAACAAGCCCGGUUGCCUCGUUUACGCCAGCAAUUUGUUCAACCAUCCAGUCGCCUUCAGUGAUCGGCCCCAAGCACGUCCCAUGGCCAUCAUGCAGAUAAAGAUGUCUAAAUCCAGUUUUUUCACUAGCCCAUAUAAA